GGGAUUGUAGUAUAGUGGUCAGUACUUCUCGUUGUGGUCAAAUUCGACAUACAACGGAUCCGAGAGGACCCAGGUUCGAUUCCUGGCAAUCCCA
rfam:Sordaria macrospora k-hell, WGS project CABT02000000 data, contig: 2.8